rnacentral:lncRNA from 1 species
GACUCAUUGUGCCUGUGGCGAGGUAUUGGGAGGGCCUAUGUCGGUGUGCAGUGCCCUUCGGUCGGGUUGAACCCAGAGCAAGCUGUGCUUGGUCGCCCGGCGUCCCCAGGCCGCUCCGGAGACUCACGGUGAGUCUCAUGGCGGACUCUCGGAGGACGGGCGGGCUGCGAGGGUGGACCGUGUGACCACCCGGGGGGACUUGGAAAGGAGCCCUGCGGGGUCCCGGCGGUGCUCGAAUCUCUGGGGUCAGUGGGGAGCUCUUUCAUGUCAUCAUCCUUGUAUAACAUUUCUGAGGACAAGAUCACAAAUGGACGUGAUCCCCGUGUCUGGAUUCUUCUCCCCCUCCCCCCCUCCUGUCGCCAUUUGCUGUGGUUGCAGGGGAAAGUGUUUUGUGUGGUUUUCGUUUUAUUGCUGUCGUUUACUUCUCCGGGCGUCUUGGGUCCUUGAGAAUCUUGAGAUAAACGACGCGGAAGACCUUGAGCUCUGUACAGGUUUGAGGUUCCGAAAACAUUUCCGGAUCACUUGCUUUUCUGUCUUUCCAUCUCCCAACGCUGAGCGAAAGCGCUGGCGGCUUGACGGUGGUUAAAAGAUCUAGUAGAAAUUAACAGCCGGCUGUCAGCUUUAUGCAAUGCUUCAAGACCUCUUGCUGGUUUAAGCCUGUUUAACUGUGCUAUCUGGGAGAUUAGUGGAGUGUUAGUUCACCUUGCUUGAUUGCAAUGAGUGAGACGUGAAGGGUAUCUGGGAGAAACCACACUGGGCCAGUAGGAGAUUGAUCAGCUUAAUGACCUUAGAUGAGAUUAGACAUUUGCCAACUGUCAGUUUUAUUAUCCAUAAAAUUAACUACCUUUGCUCAAAAAGGUUCUUCAAACUUGAAAUGAGUGGAGUUGGUAAAUGUAAUUGUAAUUU